rnacentral:lncRNA from 1 species
GUUUUUCUUGAGAGAUUGUUUGCUCAAUCUAUUUGGAUUUGUUAAGCUCCUAUUAUGUGUUUAGCAUUGAUUUGUCUUCAGGAACCUAAAGAUAAAGUAUGGUGACGGAUAUAUUUGCAGAAGGGCUUGGCAGAGCCACCGGAAGUUGGAUGGUAGUGUUGUGACUCACAGGAACCCCAGAUGAGAAGAGGCCGUCUGAGAGGUUGAAAACAUAUAUAGCAUGUCCAGAUGAACUGAAAAACUUCAUCUGGAGGUUGAAUAAGAGAAAGGAAUUAAAUUCAAAAAGAAUAUCCUUAAACCUUAGAACAUGACAAAUUUCAGCAGUGUUACAAAAAUGACCAAAAGCUCCAAAUGAACCUCUGGAAUCUAGUCCACAUACAAGUGAGAUCAUGCAGCAUUUUUAUUUGUGUCCAGCUUAUGUCACUCAGGAAUUUCUAGAUAUUUCCUCGAGGUUCAUUCAUGCUGUUGCAAAUGACAGGAUGUACUUCUGAAUGUGAGAGAGUUUCAGAGAACUGGAAUCCAUUGGAUGAACAAGCUUAAUUUCAAAAUCUCAGAUGACAGAAAUUCUCACUGACUCCAAAUGAGGAACAGAAUGGCUGCAUACUUUAGAUAUUUUUAACUAACACCAUUAAUGUAAUCAUGAAGACCAUGCCUAUAUUGUCAUUAUAUCAAAAUAUGUUCACUUCAACAAGUAGAAGUUCUUCCAUUGACAAAAGUAUUUAAUGAAUUGUCAAUAAAACUUUGUUGGGAUGCAAAGAAUUAUGUCAAGCACCUCGGCACUACAAAAUUAAAUAAUCAGCUGGUGUUCCUCAAAAAAGCAUAUGAAUGUGCUUAUUUUCAUCAAGAGGACUUCAUGAUCCAGUCAGGAAGACAAGGCAGGUACACUAAUAAAUAUAGGUAGAAUCUAAGAAGAACCACAAAAGAGGGACAAAGCUAUAGGAUUUCAGAUGCAAGAGAUUACUUCUAGCUAAAGGGAACCCAUGAAGAUGACACAAGAGUGACAUUGGAACCGAGUCUCUCAGUGUGCUUAGACUUGCUAUUGGAUCUUCCCUGUAUUUCUCCAGUUACCCACUCAAUAAAGUUUCUUGCCAGUGGUUAUGACUCGUGCUCAUUUCUAAUGCUUUUUAACAUAUUACCACAAACUGGGUGGCUUAAAUCUCAUUGUGUUUUAUGUCAUAGUUUCUGUGGGUCAAGAACACAGACAGGGAGUAUCUGGGUUCUCUGCUCAGGGUCUCACAGAG